GAUGAACGCUGGCGGCGUGCCUAAUACAUGCAAGUCGAGCGAACAGAUAAGGAGCUUGCUCCUUUGACGUUAGCGGCGGACGGGUGAGUAACACGUGGGUAACCUACCUAUAAGACGGGGAUAACUUCGGGAAACCGGAGCUAAUACCGGAUAAUAUUUUGAAACGCAUGGUUCGAUAGUGAAAGAUGGUAUUGCUAUCACUUAUAGAUGGACCCGCGCCGUAUGAGCUAGUUGGUAAGGUAACAGCUUACCAAGGCGACGAUACGUAGCCGACCUGAGAGGGUGUUCGCCCACACGGGAACUGAGACACGCCCCAGACUCCUACGGGAGGCAGCAGUAGGGAAUCUUCCGCAAUGGGCGAAAUCCUAACGGAGCAACGCCGCGUGAGUGAUGAAGUUCUUCGGAUCGUAAAACUCUGUUAUUAGGGAAGAACAUACGUGUAAUUAACUGUGCACGUCUUGACGGUACCUAAUCAGAAAGCCACGGCUAACUACGUG
rnacentral:rRNA from 1 species